CCUACGGGAGGCAGCAGUGGGGGAUAUUGGACAAUGGGGGGAACCCUGAUCCAGCGACGCCGCGUGAGUGAAGAAGUAUCUCGGUAUGUAAAGCUCUAUCAGCAGGGAAGAAGAAAUGACGGUACCUGAGUAAGAAGCCCCGGCUAACUCCGUGCCAGCAGCCGCGGUAAUACGGAGGAUGCGAGCGUUAUCCGGAUUUAUUGGGUUUAAAGGGUGCGCAGGCGGCGGCACAAGUCAGCGGUAAAAUCGCGGGGCUCAACCCUGCCCCGCCGUUGAAACUGUGUCCCUUGAGUGCGCGAAGGGUAGGCGGAAUGCGUGGUGUAGCGGUGAAAUGCAGAGAUAGCACGCAGAACUCCGGUCGCGAAGGCAGCCUACCGGCGCGCAACUGACGCUCAUGCACGAAAGCGUGGGUAUCGAACAGGAUUAGAUACCCGGGUAGUC
rnacentral:rRNA from 1 species